CAACCAACCGUAGGUCGCUGUAAGUGAACCGUCGUGUAGUGAUUUGUUUUUGCAUAAUUGCUGCCAUAGCUCCACCAAUUGUGUUUCAUGAGAAAUCAUUAACAUAAGUUUGCCACUCCUUUUAUCUAAAGUAAUCAAAGUCAUUAGUUGUUAUGGGUAAUGUGAGUAAGCACCAUUGCAUAGAUAGCCAGUGAUGUUGGCUGCUGGAAAAGGAGAAAUCAAUGAAUUAUAGAUUGGGAUCAUAGAACUUCAGAGAGGAAACUAGGUUGAUUGUGCAAUAUUUUUUAAGAACACUUAGUAUCAUGGAUAAUAUGUGAAACAAACAAUAUGAUUUACUCCUUAGCUUGUAAUAGCCUGUUCAAUGUAAAAAUAAGUAUUUAACCAGCCGCAUAGAAGCAUGUUUGCUUUGUGACCUUAGAAACUAGCCAGGCACAGGCAGCACCUCAGCCCCCUCCUCAGCCAGACGGCUACUGUCUCGAGGCGUACAGUGGCCGCUCACCUCGCGGACGUGUCUGGCUCGUCAUCGGCCUCCAAUGCCACGAUCGCGCUGCUACUCCAAUCGUCGCUGACCCGCAUGAUCUCCACUGACUUCCGCAAUGAGUGCGGGCACCUUCGGUCCCAUCAGCUGUUAAGGAUUACCUCGCUUAUGGUGUUCCACAGAGUGACAUGAAACUAUUUUCACUUAUGCAAAAGCUCCAGUGUAGAACCCUGAUUUUUAUCAGUGAGAAUUCUCAGUUAAACUCCAAGACCGUUCACUUGACAUCGAAGCUCGACAUGAGAUAUUGUGCUCUAGUUGAGGUAACUAACAAUCAUCUACGUGUUUACCUCUAUGCAUCCUUUUUCUGCAACUGUUAUGUCUAUCUAUGGUACCAUUUAUGCAUACAACUACAUUAUCUAUGCUUUUGAUUUGUUCCAAGUCUGACUAUGCUUUUUAGAUGUACAUAUCAUCGCACCAUAUUUCCAUCCCUUUUGCAACUGUUAUAA